UGGGGAAUAUUGGACAAUGGGCGAAAGCCUGAUCCAGCCAUGCCGCGUGUGUGAAGAAGGUCUUCGGAUUGUAAAGCACUUUAAGUUGGGAGGAAGGGCAGUAAGCGAAUACCUUGCUGUUUUGACGUUACCGACAGAAUAAGCACCGGCUAACUCUGUGCCAGCAGCCGCGGUAAUACAGAGGGUGCAAGCGUUAAUCGGAAUUACUGGGCGUAAAGCGCGCGUAGGUGGUUCGUUAAGUUGAAUGUGAAAGCCCCGGGCUCAACCUGGGAACUGCAUCCAAAACUGGCGAGCUAGAGUAGGGCAGAGGGUAGUGGAAUUUCCUGUGUAGCGGUGAAAUGCGUAGAUAUAGGGAGGAACACCAGUGGCGAAAGCGACCACCUGGGCUCAUACUGACACUGAGGUGCGAAAGCGUGGGGAGCAAACAGG
rnacentral:rRNA from 1 species